GGAACUUGACCAAGGUCUCACAUCAGCCCGCAGGAAUGGGAAAGGGACGGAGGAGUGGUCCUAUUGAAGAAAGAGAAAAAGAGAAGGCAACAUUGGCCUCCAGAAAACCAGCCAUGGUCGGGGACAUCAGACCUCUGGGAGAAGGUUGCCUAGCAGGGCUUGAACAGGAAGGGCUUGGGCCCAUUCUAUUCACCAGCUGAUCCCAACUCGACAGAGCCCUACAUACGGCAAGCUAAAUAAUCGUGGACUGAUUAGUUUGCACCUCCAAGUCAUUCUAGCAUGACAGAACCUCAGACCUGGACGGCCUUUGGAAAUCAACUGCUCUGAUCCUUUCCUUCUAGCGAGGGGGAAGCUGGUCCCUCUAACCAUUUCCCAGAUCAGCCGAACAACAAACCCAGAAGCCAAGGCUCCAAAGUGUUCUCCCACCCCAGUGCUCUCUCCACGGUGCUGCCCAUUGAAGACUCCCAUUUUUCCAGGGAAUUAGGACAUGCUUUUCUCGAAGCAGCUCUCUGACGCUGGGAGUAUCAUCAGUAUUAUUACCCUGUGUUACAGGUUAGGAAACUGACACCCAGAAAGGGGAGACUGAGUUGCUCAGCUGUUAAGACCUAGGGAGUCAAACUGAGGUCAUAGCAUCAUAGUGAUACUGUAAGUAAACUGAGGGUCACAGAACUUUGGUGACUUACCCAAUGUCAUCCGGGUAAUAAGAGAGGCAUGAUCUGAACCUAGAUCAUGCCUCAGGCCGUGUCAUUUCUACGGUGUCCCAUUGCCUCUCCUUGCCAAGCAUUCUCUCCUCUAUGGCACACUGCUUCUACAUUAAUAACAGGUCUCCAGGUCAUUGACUCAGCAGGACAGGGGGAGGAGGAGACUUUGACCAAUAAUGUUGGUUGACUGUCCAAAUGACUACUUGAGUCCACUUGUUUUCCACACGUUUUUAUUAAAGUGUAAACCCAA